CCCAAAAGAAGAACCUUGAUGAGGGGAAAGAAUUGGUUUACACACAAAAGUCAACAUUGAGGAUGGUUGAUUUUCUUUCAUAAAAUCAUUGAUUUUAACUUAUUGGUAUAAGAAAAACUUAACAAAACUUUGCAAAAAUAUCUGAUUUUAGUUGUCUUCCCCAAAACAUUUCCAAAUACUGAUUGAAAUAGAAGAAAAUAAGGAAUCAUUUUAUUUACCCACGUCUUUCUUUGCUGCUUCAGGGCACUGAGAGUCUUACUGAUGUUCUCACUUAUGAGACGCUUGAUCACAUCAGCUUCUUUGGGCAGGUUGUGAUUCACAAAUGUCUCUUUGAUUCUGCUGCAUUUCGGUGGGAGGGAAAUUUCCUCCUCCUCUUUUCUAGAAACUUUUGAUUUAUGAAUUAAAAAUGCAUUCUCAAGCAAAAGUCCUGAUUUUUUUUCCCUUUGUUUUGUGAGCAUUAUCAGAGCAGGGCUGAUAAGCACAAUUUUAAUCUAAGAAUAAUUGUUUCUUUUAUAAUACCCAAUUAGAGGGCAUGCAAUGUUCUUCAGUAAAAAUAUCUAACAUAUUUAUAUAGGAUUACAACAUGUUAUUAAGUUUUUAUGUAGAUUAUAUUUCUCCAAGAUAUUCAUGCUUAGUAAGGGAUCUUCACACUCUUAGUUUUACUGAUGAACAACCCAAGGCAUUAAAAUGCCAUGAACUCUAAGAGCAGUUACAUUUAGAAAAUCUGAGAACAGAAUCUAUGUCUUAAGUUUCAACUGGAUACCGUUCCCCAGUUAUGAGUGCGUAUUUUACACUGGGACCAGUAUCAUCCUGAUUAAUAAUGCUGUACCUGCCAUCAUAUAGCAGAACCAAGUUAAUUAACCUGUUCCGUUAGAUUUUUGUGUUUCUAGUUUUGGCUGUCAUAAGCUAAGUAUUGAACAUACUUGUACAUGCAUUUCUUUAUCUCAAUAUUUUCUUAAGAAAUGUCUAGAACUAGAAUUUGGGGUCAAAUAAUCAGAUUUUUAGUAAGUGCUUAUGAUAUGCCAGACCAUGCCAUCUUAGUAUUCGGGGUGAUAAAAAGACUCAAAUGACAUAGUUGACACUUUUACGUUCCUUCUGGUACGUAAGGUAAACCCUGAAUAGGAAUAGAUGCAUCGAAGGCCACUAGGGAGAUUCAGAUAAUGUGACUUGGUGUUUUAUAAGGCAGUGAUGUCAUUCUGACUGCAGUCACCACUGUCGGGUUGUGAUUAAACUCUGAUGACCUAUGAGAGCACCGUGAUGUCAGUUUUUCUGGAAUUGGAAUAUUGAAUACUUCCUGACCAGUUCUAUGUCUUUUCUAACCUGUUCAACCUCACCUGACCCCAAGGCCAUGAGCUCUGGAUUCCCUUUGUUCUUUCCCAGUAGAGGAAUCCCAAGGAGGACUGAUCAGUUUUGGCAGGUGCAAAACCAUGGUAUGUGUAAGUUAGUGUUUCCUUCUCGUUAAAAUAGUGAGACGUAAAUGUUUUCAUUAAUUGUUCUGAAGCGUCCUACCCAAAGAACCCCAUGUGAUUAUGUGCUUCCCAGUUCCUCCCAUUCCAGUGAACUGAACAAUGGUUCCAAAUAACCUAGUCCUCCUUAUGUGGCCCAGUCUUUUCCAGCCAGUGUUUAUGCAUUCACUGACCAGGUUAUUCUCUCCUACGUGCUCAACUUAGUCAUAUUAAGAGCUAUAAUGGAGGAAUGAAGAAAUUAAGUCCUGUCAAGAAAUGAUUUGAGCUUCCCGUGUCAGGACUGUAGUUGGAUGAGAGAUGGAGAUCCCAUUUGGCCAAGCAGGGAAAGACCCUGACAUUCUCACAGACAUGAGUUUUCUAGAUACACAUGAUAAAACCCAGCAAUGAACGGUCUCUGGAGGCUAAGAUCCAAUGCACUGUGAGGUUUUUGGAAUUGAAUAGCAAUAUGAUUUAGGACUUGAAAAUAUAUGGAUCAUGGUCCUUUGUAAGGGAUUCCUGAAUGAGAAAUAUGACUAUUUUAUUGCUGACUGGGAUGCGAUGAAAUUGAAUGACUUUGAUAUAAUUCUGGAUCAUCCUACAUUAGUAUCCUCUAACUCAUGAACCAGAAAAGUUCUCAGUGAGGGAUUGUUAGUGUCCAUAAAAGAGAAUAAAAUCAUAAGUCUUAAAUUAACAGAGAGCAAGAAUAGAAAAGACCUUAGAUAUGUUGUCUAACAAUGUAUAUAAUCAUAAUCAUCUAAACAUGUUUAAUUCUAUUAUAACCAUAAAUUAGAGUGCUAUGCAGCCAUUCAAAAUAUUAGUCAAAAUAAGGAAACUACAUAUGAUAGCAUUUAACAAAGAAUUUCAGUAUUUAAGAUAUUCUUUCGUUCUUUUUUAUAUGCUGUUUUUCUAUCUGUUAUGACAAACUCUAAGUUUCAAUUGGAGAAUUUUAUCCUUUUACAUUUAACGUAAUUAUUGACAGUUAGAUUUAGGUCAUCCAUUUUACUGUAUGUUUUCUUUUUUUCCAUUUGGCUUUUGUUCCCCUUUCUCUUUUUUUCUUCUUUGGGGUUAAUAAUAAUUAUUUAAAAUUCCAUUUUAACUUGAUUUUCUAUAUGUGCCUAUUUUUAGUGGUCACUGUCUGUAUCUAUAUACAUGUAUCUAUCUAUCUAUAUAUAUAAUUAUUUUACUGAGUCAUAUUGGCUUUCAACCUUGUAUACAUUUCAAGUGUCUAUCAUAAUAUUUCAGUUUCUCUUUAGACUGCAUUGUGUUCAUCACCAAUAAUUCAGUUUUUAUCCGUCACCAUACAUAUGUGGCUUUACCAUUUCAUCCUCCCUCAUCCCUUUUUCCUCUGGUAACCACUAAUGUAUUCUCAUCUAUGUGUUUGCUUAUAUUCCACAUAGGAGUGAAAUCAUAGAGUAUUCCUUUCUCUGUCUUACUUGUUU